rnacentral:lncRNA from 1 species
GGGUUUGAGAUGUCAGCUUCCUCUACACGUCUAGGUAGAGUUCUCAGUAUCUUUGAUGCUUCUGAAUGAAUGCAUUUAAUGAGGUGAUUUUCCAGUGCCAGCACCACCAUUUAUGUAGUAGAAAAACUGCUCUGGUUGUAGUCCACAGACUCGUUUUAUGCACCAGUCUCUCACUGCAUAGAACACACAUGCCUGCUUCUGGUUCAGACUCUGAUACAUUUGUCGUAACCGUGUGGGAUUGAUUGUAGGGGGCUCUCUCAUGACUCUGGCCUCUGUAGCAGCAUUAGCUUGUCUGCUGUAUUCCGGUACAUCCUGUUGGACAUUUUCACACUGUCAGGCAUCCAGUUCAUCGAUACACUCCAACUUCACCAGUUCAGAUUCAGGUGCCAAAUUACACCAUUCAUCGACCACACCUCUGUUCUGUUCAAAGUCCUCGAGAGCAGAGUCAAUUUCCUCACCGUUUUUUUCAUAUCUCUCUCUGUUUCUUUUCACAAUGAGUUUCACACGCAGGGGUUGGUCAGAAUACGGCAGCUGAACCACACCUCUCUUAUAGAAUGACUCAUACGUGGGAAGAUAUGGUCUUUUCAGCUCAUCGUCUGAUCUGUAUGGAAGAUACAGUAUAUGCAAUGUGCCGUAAAACUGCUCAGGGUAUUUCUCUUUCGAUAUGCGGCGAUACCUGAUGACAGCAGCGUUGUCACUUUCUCGUCUCUGUAUAAAGCCUAGUUCAUUCAGCAAGGGUACACUUUCUUGCCCUUGGUCUGUUGUCCAUACACCAGUCUGCAGGUAGAUGUAAAAUCAGCCAUGUACAUCUCUUCAAACUCUGGUGUUUCAGGUCUGGAUUUGUAUUUGUCUGUUAAGGAUGUCAUCCACACAUUCAAGCUGUCUGGUGUAGUGUUGUCAAGGCUUGACACAGGCAGACUCAUUUUCACUGGGUUGUCAUCAGUUGGGACAAAAACCACACUGCGUGUACUCUUUUUCAUGUUCAGUGAAGUCACUCAGGCAACAGCUUCUUGUGCUGAUACUUCUCGCUUUUUGGAAUACGCCUGCAUGACCACUUUCAUUUCAUCACAUUCAUUGACUCAGACAAAACUGAAGUUCUGGUCCUCGGUCCUAAACACCUUAGAGAGGCAUUCUCUAGUAAUUUAGCUACAUUUGAUGGUAUCAGCCUGGCAUCCAGCCCCACUGUGCGAAAUCUAGGAGUUGUAUUUGAUCAGGAUUUAUCUUUUAGCUCCCACAUUCAAAAAAAUUUCCAGGACAGCCUUUUUCCACCUGCGCAAUAUCUCAAAAAUUAGACGCAUAUUGUCUCAGAGCGAUGCAGAAAAACUAGUCCAUGCCUUUGUAACCUCUAGGCUGGAUUACUGUAAUUCUCUCCUGUCAGGCUGCUCUAGUAAGUCAUUAAGGACUCUUCAGCUGGUCCAAAAUGCAGCAGCUCGGGUAUUGACUAGAACUAGAAGAAGGGAGCACAUCUCUCCUGUUUUAGCCUCUCUUCACUGGCUCCCUAUUAAAUAUAGAAUUGAGUUUAAAAUCCUCCUUGUGACAUAUAAAGCGCUUAAUGGCCAGGCUCCAUCAUAUUUCGACGAGCUAGUUAUACCGUACUUUCCAUCUAGACCGUUACGCUCACAGUCUGCAGGUUUGCUCGUUGUACCAAAUGUCUCUAAAAGUAGUAUUGGAGGAAGAGCUUUCAGCUACCAGGCACCUCUUCUCUGGAAUCAUUUACCGCUCGAGGUUCGGGGGGCAGACACACUCUCAACUUUCAAGAGUAGACUUAAAAUGUUCCUCUUUGAUAAAGCCUAUAGUCAGGGCUGAUUUGAACCAGCUCUUAGUUAUGCUCCUAUAGGCCUAGACUGCCGGGGCUAUCUGGCACACUGAGCUAGAGUCUGUCUCUAUCUCCUAUCUUUAUGUCCCAUAUAAGUCACUGACCAGUUUUCUGUCUCUCUGAGUGUGUCUCUGAGUCUUUUAGCUGCCGCUGGACUAAUGCUGCAAACGGUCUGCUGUGGAACUGCCUGACCCCAGCUGCAUCCACCCCGGCUCUUUGGCUCUUUGGCUCCUCUGGACCGUUGCUGCAGACCAUUAAUAAUACAAAAUAGAACUGACUACGAUUAAGCCUGCUAACUGUAAUCACACUCAAUUAAUUCAACAUUGUCCAUUAGCACUCAUAUCCUAACCCUGUAAACUGAACUCAUUUUGUUUCACCAUUACAUGAGCUGUUGUUGUUGCUGUUGUUCCUGCUGCCUCCUGUCUCUCUCUCACCCUCGUUCCUUACUCUCUCUCCCUCCCCCUCCCUCUCCGUACUCAUUCUCUCUCGCCUUUCCCCUAUCUUGUUGUCUCUCUCCCUCCCCCUGUCCUCUCCCCCUCUCCCCUCUUCUCUCUACAUUCCUCCCCAACCCAGCAGCGGCAUGGUGGCUGUCUAGCAUGAGGCUGGUCCUGCCCAAGGUUUCUGCCUGUUAAAAGGAAGUUUUUCCUUGCCACUGUAACUCAUGUUAGUUGAGAUGGGCCAAAACCCAUCUUAGGUUGGUUCUUGAUCAUCAAACAAUGAGCAUGGUCCAGACCUGCUCUUGUUCCUUGAAAAGCGUCUUGAGAUGACGACUGUUGUGAAUUGGCGCUAUAUAAAUAAAAUUUGAUUGAUUUGAUUGAUUGAUUGACACAUUCUCUCUCAGAGUUCUGAAUGAGUGUUUGCAGAUACUGGCUCACAGAGUUCUCACUUUUACACAUGUACGUACAUAUGUAAUGGAUUAGACUGUAGUAGCUGAGAAUGAACUGCACAUCAAUGUUUGCAUCCCAGGCCUUGAGCAGGUGAGGGUUGUAGGUGUUUACCCAGCAGUCUUUUGGCUCACGCUUCCGAAGGAUGUUGCUUGACCGACUCAUCAAAUGCAUGUGUUUCUCGUACUCAUCAGCGGUUAAGUCACAGACAGACAGGAGCUGUUGAAAACUCAGGGAUUCAGUUUGUGUCUCAUUCAGCAGCUGAUUCAGUGGUGCAAGUUUCUCUUUGGCUCUCUUAAGUCUCUCUGACUCCUCAUCAUCAUCCACAGGUCUUGUUAUCAUUGUCCGUCUGGAGGGUGGUUUUGGGAAUCCAAAACGGCAUCCUGAACUUGCACUUUUGAAACAUGUCUUUGAGUGCUUCUUACUGUGUAUUUGCACUUCUUUGACCUUUUUGUACAGUUCAGGCUGUUUAUUUGGGUCAGGGAGCUGAGCAGAGAUGUGUUUGGACACAAAGUCACACACAGUUUUGUCAGAGUCUCUCUCAAACACAGGUGCACCUUCUACCCACAAAAGACCAUGUAUAUGAGGACUUCCUCUGUGCUGAAACUCGAGACGCCAAAAGAAGUCAUAAACUUUGCCCAGGGGUUGUGCAGGAGACAUGAUCAGAUCUCUGUACAGUGCUUCAACACACUUAUCAAACAUGCGCAGGAUUGCUUCUCAGAAUGUCACACUUUGAAUGUCACCUCCUCACCUUGUUGUGAUUUUAUUGCAAUAAUCACCUCAGGCCAAAGCAUUUCUGCUGCAGAAAAUGUGACAAAGAAAGUAGGACUGCCCAACUGCCUGAUCAUAGCAAACAGAUCUUUUGUAGUUUUGUCCUAGUAGGCUGGUGUUCCCUUGAGUGGCUGCAUAAAUCUGAUAGCAUCUCUGUUUCUCACCAGUCUCUCCACUUCAUAUUUGUCUCUCAAAAUUCUGAAUGUUUUUUUACGUCCGUCUCUGGUCAAAGGUUUGCCUUUGUGUAACUGUAUGGACAUGCUGGAGGUAGCCAAGUGUAUCUCUGUCACAAACUGUGCAAAGAACAGGUAGUUGGUAUCUCUGGUAAAGCGAUCAUCAACACCAAAGAGCCUUGCUUUAAAAUAACUACUGGGUGAUAAUUUCAUGGGUCUGUUUUCAUCCAGUGUAUUCUCGCGAGUCACUGAAACACAAUAUUUCCUCAAAAACAUCACGUGGCUGAAGGCAGGACUCCAAAACAACACCACCAUUAGAUAUGUCUGCAUCCUGUUGUUGUGUCUGAUCAUCAUUGUCCUGGGUCUGACUUUUAUCACACAGCUCUGUGUGUUUUUUUUGGUAUAAUUAACUCUAAAAGAUCUGAAACAUGUUCCUAAAAAGGUCUUAGACAGUGAUUUUAACCCUAACCCCAAAAACCUUAAACCUUACCCUAGCCCCGUAAACCAAUACCUGGGUAUUACCUAAAGUAAGCCUUAACACCCCAAACAUUUUUUUUUCAUUUUUUUUUUGGUCUAACUAACUCCAAAAGAUCUGAAACAUGUUCCUAAAAAGGUUUUGGACAGUGAUUUUAAGCCUGAACAUUUUUUUUUCAUUUUUUGUUUUUUUUGGGUCUAAUGAAUUGCAAAAGGUUUGAAACAUGUUCCCCAAAGGUUGUUGGACAGUGAUUUUAACCCUAAAUACAUAUCCCUAACCUCAGCCCUGUUACCCAAUAUCCAGGUGUUACUUAAAGGAAGCCCUAACAUUAAAAAAAAUGACAUUUUUCUUUUUUUUUCUAAUGAACUCCAAAAGGUUUGCAACAUGUUCCUGAAUAGUUCUUGGACAGUUUGUUUUAACCCUAAUACCAAAACCCGAAACCCAACACCUAAAAAUACCUAAAAAAAUAGCCCUUACAACCCCAAUUUUUUUUUUUUGACAUUUUUCGUUUUUCUUUUUGGUAUAAUUAACUCCAAAAGGUCUGAAACAUGUUCUUAAAAAGGUCUUGGACAAUGAUUUUAACCCUAACCCCAAAAACCUUAAAAGGGUAUUGGACAGUGAUAUUAAUCCAGUGUUGUUUUCGUCAACCAUGACGUUGACGAAAAUAUUUUUGUCAACGUCAUCGUCAAAGAAAACAAAACUCCACGUAUGUGCGCGCGUGUGUGUGUGUCUGUGUGUUGGAGGAACACAGCAGGCUGAUGAGAGCUGUCAGAGCGGAUUUUUUGGUCUAAUGAACUCAAAAGGUCUGAAACAUGAUCCUCAAAGGUUUUUGGACAGUGAUAUGAACCCUUAUCCAGAAACCCUAACCCUCACCCUAGCCCCUUAACCAAAUUCCUGGGUAUUACCAUUAAAAAGGCCCUAACAACGCCCAAAAUAUUUUUUUUGACAUUUUUCUUUUUUUUUCUCGGUAUAAUUCACUCCAAAAGAUCUGAAACAUGUUCCUAAAAAGGUCUUGGACAGUGAUUUUAAGCCUAACCCAAAAAACCUUAAACCUUACCCUAGCCCUGUAACCCAAUACUAACCAAAUACUUCCUUUAGUAUUACCUAAAGGAAGCCCUAACACCCCAAACAAUUAUUUUUUAAUUUUUUUUUUUUUUUGUUGUUGGUCUAAUUCACUCCAAAAGGUUUAAAACAUGUUCCUCAAAGGUUUUGGACAGUGAUAUUAAUCCUGACCCCAAAAACCUUAAACCUUACCCAAGUCCUGAAACCCAAUACCCAGGUAUUAUCUAAAGGAAGCCCUAACACCCAAACAUUUUGUUCUUAUUUUUCAAUUUAUUUUGGUCUAAUUCACUCCAAAAAGGUUGAAACAGGUCUUGGUCUAAAAAGGUCUUGGACAGUGAUUUUAAGCCUAACCCCCAAAACCCUAAACCUUACCCUAGCCCCAUAAUCCAAUGCCUGGGUCUUACCUUAAGGAAGCCCUAACACCCCAAACAUUUUUUUUCAUUUUUGCUUUGUUUAUGAUCUAAUUAACAUUUUUCAGUUUUUUUGGUCUAACUCGAAAACUCUGAAAAAUGCUCCUGAAAGGAUCCUUAACAGUGAUUUUACCCUAAUCCGAACCCUAGCCCCGUAACCCAAUACCCAGUUCUUACUUUAAAAAAGCCCUAACAACCCCCAAAUUUUUUUUUUACAUUUUGCAUUUUUCUUGGUAUAAUUACCUCCAAAAGGUCUGAAACAUGUUCAUAAAAAGGUCUUGGACAAUGAUUUAAACCCUUACCCCAAAAACCUUAAACCUUACCCUAGCCCCGUAACCCAAUACCCGAGUAUUACCUAAAGGAAGCCCUAAUACCCCAAACAUUUUUUUUUUCAUUUUUCCUUUGUUUAUGGUCUAACUAACUCCAAAAGGUCUGAAACAUGUUCCUAUAAAGAUCUUGCACAGUGAUUUAACCCUAAUCCCAAAACCCUAAACCGAACCGUAGCCCCGUUACCCAAUACCCAGGUCUUACCCAAAAGCCCUAAAAACCCCAAAUUCUUUUUUUGACAUUUUUCUUUUUUUUUGGUCUAAUUAACUCCAAAACGUCUGAAACGUUCCGAAAAAGGUCUUGGACAGUGAUUUUAAGCCUAACCCCCAAAACCCUAAACCUUACCCUAGCCCCAUAAUCCAAUGCCUGGGUCUUACCUUAAGGAAGCCCUAACACCCCAAACAUUUUUUUUUCAUUUUUGCUUUGUUUAUGAUCUAAUUAACAUUUUUCAGUUUUUUUGGUCUAACUCGAAAACUCUGAAAAAUGCUCCUAAAGGAUCCUUAACAGUGAUUUUACCCUAAUCCGAACCCUAGCUCCGUAACCCAAUACCCAGUUCUUACUUUUAAAAAGCCCUAACAACCCCCAAAUUUUUUUUUUACAUUUUUCAUUUUUCUUGGUAUAAUUACCUCCGAACGGUCUGAAACAUGUUCCUAAAAAGGUUGGACAGUGAUAUUAACCCUAAUCCCAAAACCCUACACCCAACCCUAGCUCCGUAACCCAAUAACCGGGUAUUAUCUAAAGAAAGCCCUAACCAACCCCAAAAACUUUUUUUUUGACAUUUUUCUUUUUUUUUUGUCUAAUUAACUCCAAAAGGUCUGAAACAUGUUCCUAAAAAGGUCUUGGACAGUGAUUUUAACCCUAACCCCAAAAACCUUAAACCUUACCCUAGCCCCGUAACCCAAUACCCAGGUAUUACCUAAAGGUAGCCCUAACACCCCAAACAUUUUUUUUUCAUUUCACGUUUUUUUUUUUGGUCUAACUAACUCCAAAAGGUCUGAAACAUGUUCCUAAAAAGGUCUUGGACAGUGAUUUUACCCUAAUCCGAACCCUAGCCCCGUAACCCAAUACCCAGUUCUUACUUUAAAAAAGCCCUAACAACCCCCAAAUUUUUUUUUUACAUUUUUUUUUUUUGGUUGGUCUAAUUACCUCCAAAAGGUCUGAAACAUGUUCAUAAAAAGGUCUUGGACAGUGAUUUUAACCCUAACCCCAAAAACCUUAAACCUUACCCUAGCCCCGUAACCCAAUACCCAGGUAUUACCUGAAGGAAGCCCUAACACCCCAAACAUUUUUUUUUUAUUUUUCAUUUUUUGUUUUCUAACUAACUCCAAAAGGUCUGAAACAUGUUCCUAAAAAGGUCUUGGGAAAUGAUUUAUACCCUAAUCCCAACCCUGGCCCUGUAACCCAAUACCCCGGUCUUACCUAAAGAAAGCCCUAACAAUACCAAAAAAGUUUUGACAUUUUUCUUGUUUUUUUGGUCUAACUAACUCCAAAAGGUCUGAAACACGUUCUGAAAAAGGUCUUGGAAAGUGAUUUUAACCCUAACCCCAAAAAGCUUAAACCUUACCCUAGCCCCGUAACCCAAUACUUCCUUUAGUAUUACCUAAAGGAAGCCCUAACAACCCAAAACAUUCUUUUUUUUCAAUUUUUGUUUUUUUUUUGGUCUAACUAACUCCAAAUUUCUGAAUCUUGUCCCUAAAAUGGUCUUGGACAGUGAUUUUAACCCUAAACCCAAAAACCUUACCCUAGACCCGUGACCCAAUACCCAGGUAUUACCUAAAGGAAGCCCUAACACCCCAAACAUUUUUUUUUCAUUUUUCAUUUUUUUUGGUCUAACUAACUCCAAAAGGUCUGAAACAUGUUCCUAAAAAGGUGUUGGACAGUGAUUUAACCCUAAUCCCAAAACCCUAAACUUUACCCUAGUCCCAUAACCCAAUACCCAGGUAUUAGCUAAAGGAAACCCUCACACCCCAAACAUUUCUUUUUAUUUUUCAUUUUUUGUUUUCUAACUAACUCCAAAAGGUCUGAAACAUGUUCCUAAAAAGGUUGGACAGUGAUAUUCACCCUAAUCCCAAAACCCUACACCCAACCCUGGCCCUGUAACCCACUACCCAGGUCUUACCUAAAGAAAGCCCUAACAACCCCAAAUUCUUUUUUUGACAUUUUUCUUUUUUUUUGGUCUAAUUAACUCCAAAACAUCUGAAACGUUCCGAAAAAGGUCUUGGACAGUGAUUUUAAGCCUAACCCCAAAAACCCUAAACCUUACCCUAGCCCCAUAAUCCAAUGCCUGGGUCUUACCUUAAGGAAGCCCUAACACCCCAAACAUUUUUUUUUCAUUUUUGCUUUGUUUAUGAUCUAAUUAACAUUUUUCAGUUUUUUUGGUCUAACUCGAAAACUCUGAAAAAUGCUCCUAAAAGGAUCCUUAACAGUGAUUUUACCCUAAUCCGAACCCUAGCCCCGUAACCCAAUACCCAGUUCUUACUUUAAAAAAUCCCUUACAACCCCCAAAUUUUUUUUUUACAUUUUGCAUUUUUUUUGGUAUAAUUACCUCCGAACGGUCUGAAACAUGUUCCUAAAAAGGUCUUGGACAGUGAUUUUAAGCUUAACCCCAAAAACCUUAAACCUUACCCUAGCCCCGUAACCCAAUACCCAGGUAUUACCUGAAGGAAGCCCUAACACCCCAAACAUUUUUUUUUUAUUUUUCAUUUUUUGUUUUCUAACUAACUCCAAAAGGUCUGAAACAUGUUCCUAAAAAGGUCUUGGGAAAUGAUUUAUACCCUAAUCCCAACCCUGGCCCUGUAACCCACUACCCAGGUCUUACCUAAAGAAAGCCCUAACAAUACCAAAAAAGUUUUGACAUUUUUCUUGUUUUUUUGGUCUAACUAACUCCAAAAGGUCUGAAACACGUUCUGAAAAAGGUCUUGGAAAGUGAUUUUAACCCUAACCCCAAAAAGCUUAAACCUUACCCUAGCCCCGUAACCCAAUACUUCCUUUAGUAUUACCUAAAGGAAGCCCUAACAACCCAAAACAUUUUUUUUUUCAAUUUUUGUUUUUUUUUUGGUCUAACUAACUCCAAAUUUCUGAAUCUUGUCCCUAAAAUGGUCUUGGACAGUGAUUUUAACCCUAAACCCAAAAACCUUUAAUCUUACCCUAGACCCGUGACCCAAUACCCAGGUAUUACCUAAAGGAAGCCCUAACACCCCAAACAUUUUUUUUUCAUUUUUCAUUUUUUUUGGUCUAACUAACUCCAAAAGGUCUGAAACAUGUUCCUAAAAAGGUGUUUGACAGUGAUUUAACCUUAAUCCUAAAACCCUAAACUGAACCCUAGUCCCAUAACCCAAUACCCAGGUAUUACCUGAAGGAAACCCUAACACCCCAAACAAUUUUUUUUAUUUUUCAUUUUUUGUGUUCUAACUAACUCCAAAAGGUCUGAAACAUGUUCCUAAAAAGGUGUUGGACAGUGAUUUAACCCUAAUCCCAAAACCCUAAACCGAACCGUAGCCCCGUUACCCAAUACCCAGUUCUUACUAAAAAGCCCUAACAACCCCAAACAUUUUUUUUGACAUUUUUCUUUUUUUUUGCUCUAAUUAACUCAAAAACGUCUGAAACAUGUUCCUAAAAAGGUCUUGGACAGUGAUUUUAAGCUUAACCCCAAAAACCUUAAACCUUGCCCUAGCCCCGUAACCCAAUACUUCCGUUAGUAUUACCUAAAGGAAGCCCUAACAACCCAAAACAUUUUUUUCUAAUUUUUAAUUUUUUUGGUCUAACUAACUCAAAAAGGUCUGAAUCACGUUCCUAAAAAGGUCUUGGAAAGUAAUUUUAACCCUAACACCAAAAAGCUUAAACCUUAGCCUAGCCCCGUAACCCAAUACUUCCUUUAGUAUUACCUAAAGGAAGCCCUAACAACCCUAAACAUUUUUUUUUUCAAUUUUUGUUUUUUUUUGGUCUAACUCCAAAUUUCUGAAUCUUGUCCCUAAAAUGGUCUUGGACAGUGAUUUUAACCCUAAACCCAAAAACCUUAAAUCUUACCCUAGACCCGUGACCCGUGACCCAGGUAUUACCUAAAGGAAGCCCUAACACCCAAAACAUUUUUUUUUCAUUUUUCAUUUUUUUUGGUCUAACUAACUCCAAAAGGUCUGAAACAUGUUCCUAAAAAGGUGUUGGACAGUGAUUUAACCCUAAUCCUAAAACCCUAAACCGAACCCUAGUCCCAUAACCCAAUACCCAGGUAUUACCUAAAGGAAACCCUAACACCCCAAACAAUUUUAUUUUAUUUUUCAUUUUUUGUUUUCUAACUAACUCCAAAAGGUCUGAAACAUGUUCCUAAAAAGGUGUUGGACAGUGAUUUAACCCUAAUCCCAAAACCCUAAACCGAACCGUAGCCCCGUUACGCAAUACCCGGUUCUUACUCAAAAGCCCUAACAACCCCAAACAUUUUUUUUGACAUUUCUCAUUCUUUUUGCUCUAAUUAACUCAAAAACGUCUGAAACAUGUUCCUAAAAAGGUCUUGGACAGUGAUUUUAAGCUUAACCCCAAAAACCUUAAACCUUGCCCUAGCCCCGUAACCCAAUACUUCCGUUAGUAUUACCUAAAGGAAGCCCUAACAACCCAAAACAUUUUUUUCUCAUUUUUCAUUGUUUUGGUCUAACUAACUCAAAAUGGUCUGAAUCACGUUCCUAAAAAGGUCUUGGAAAGUAAUUUUAACCCUAACACCAAAAAGCUUAAACCUUAGCCUAGCCCCGUAACCCAAUACUUCCUUUAGUAUUACCUAAAGGAAGCCCUAUCAACCCAAAACAUUUUUUUUUUCAAUUUUUGUUUUUUUUUUGGUCUAACUAACUCCAAAUUUCUGAAUCUUGCCCCUAAAAUGGUCUUGGACAGUGAUUUUAACCCUAAACCCAAAAACCUUAAAUCGUACCCUAGACCCGUGACCCAAUACCCAGGUAUUACCUAAAGGAAGCCCUAACACCCCAAACAUUUUUUUUCAUUUUUCAUUUUUUUUGGUCUAACUAACUCCAAAAGGUCUGAAACAUGUUCCUAAAAAGGUGUUGGACAGUGAUUAAACCCUAAUCCUAAAACCCUAAACCGAACCCUAGUCACAUAACCCAAUACCCAGGUAUUACCUAAGGGAAACCCUAACACCCCAAACAUUUUUUUUAAUUUUUAAUUUUUUUCUUUCUAGCUAACUCCAAAAGGUCUGAAACAUCUUCCUAAAAAGGUGUUGGACAGUGAUUUAACCCUAAUCCCAAAACCCUAAACCGAACCGUAGCCCCGUUACCCAAUACCCGGUUCUUACUCAAAAGCCCUAACAACCCCAGACAUUUUUUUUGACAUUUUUCAUUCUUUUUGCUCUAAUUAACUCAAAAACGUCUGAAACAUGUUCCUAAAAAGGUCUUGGACAGUGAUUUUAAGCUUAACCCCAAAAACCUUAAACCUUGCCCUAGCCCCGUAACCCAAUACUUCCGUUAGUAUUACCUAAAGGAAGCCCUAACAACCCAAAACAUUUUUUUCUCAUUUUUCAUUGUUUUGGUCUAACUAACUCAAAAUGGUCUGAAUCACGUUCCUAAAAAGGUCUUGGAAAGUAAUUUUAACCCUAACACCAAAAAGCUUAAACCUUAGCCUAGCCCCGUAACCCAAUACUUCCUUUAGUAUUACCUAAAGGAAGCCCUAUCAACCCAAAACAUUUUUUUUUUCAAUUUUUGUUUUUUUUUUGGUCUAACUAACUCCAAAUUUCUGAAUCUUGCCCCUAAAAUGGUCUUGGACAGUGAUUUUAACCCUAAACCCAAAAACCUUAAAUCGUACCCUAGACCCGUGACCCAAUACCCAGGUAUUACCUAAAGGAAGCCCUAACACCCCAAACAUUUUUUUUCAUUUUUCAUUUUUUUUGGUCUAACUAACUCCAAAAGGUCUGAAACAUGUUCCUAAAAAGGUGUUGGACAGUGAUUAAACCCUAAUCCUAAAACCCUAAACCGAACCCUAGUCACAUAACCCAAUACCCAGGUAUUACCUAAGGGAAACCCUAACACCCCAAACAUUUUUUUUAAUUUUUAAUUUUUUUCUUUCUAGCUAACUCCAAAAGGUCUGAAACAUCUUCCUAAAAAGGUGUUGGACAGUGAUUUAACCCUAAUCCCAAAACCCUAAACCGAACCGUAGCCCCGUUACCCAAUACCCGGUUCUUACUCAAAAGCCCUAACAACCCCAAACAUUUUUUUUGACAUUUCUCAUUCUUUUUGGUCUAAUUAACUCAAAAACGUCUGAAACAUGUUCCUAAAAAGGUCUUGGACAGUGAUUUUAAGCUUAACCCCAAAAACCUUAAACCUUGCCCUAGCCCCGUAACCCAAUACUUCCGUUAGUAUUACCUAAAGGAAGCCCUAACAACCCAAAACAUUUUUUUCUCAUUUUUCAUUGUUUUGGUCUAACUAACUCAAAAUGGUCUGAAUCACGUUCCUAAAAAGGUCUUGGAAAGUAAUUUUAACCCUAACACCAAAAAGCUUAAACCUUAGCCUAGCCCCGUAACCCAAUACUUCCUUUAGUAUUACCUAAAGGAAGCCCUAUCAACCCAAAACAUUUUUUUUUUCAAUUUUUGUUUUUUUUUUGGUCUAACUAACUCCAAAUUUCUGAAUCUUGCCCCUAAAAUGGUCUUGGACAGUGAUUUUAACCCUAAACCCAAAAACCUUAAAUCGUACCCUAGACCCGUGACCCAAUACCCAGGUAUUACCUAAAGGAAGCCCUAACACCCCAAACAUUUUUUUUCAUUUUUCAUUUUUUUUGGUCUAACUAACUCCAAAAGGUCUGAAACAUGUUCCUAAAAAGGUGUUGGACAGUGAUUAAACCCUAAUCCUAAAACCCUAAACCGAACCCUAGUCACAUAACCCAAUACCCAGGUAUUACCUAAGGGAAACCCUAACACCCCAAACAUUUUUUUUAAUUUUUAAUUUUUUUCUUUCUAGCUAACUCCAAAAGGUCUGAAACAUCUUCCUAAAAAGGUGUUGGACAGUGAUUUAACCCUAAUCCCAAAACCCUAAACCGAACCGUAGCCCCGUUACCCAAUACCCGGUUCUUACUCAAAAGCCCUAACAACCCCAGACAUUUUUUUUGACAUUUUUCAUUUUUUUUGCUCUAAUUAACUGAAAAACGUCUGAAACAUGUUCCUAAAAAGGUCUUGGACAGUGAUUUUAGGCUUAACCCCAAAAACCUUAAACCUUACCCUAGCCCCUUAACCCAAUACUUCCGUUAGUAUUACCUAAAGGAAGCCCUAACAACCCAAAACAUUUUUUUCUCAUUUUUCAUUUUUUUGGUCUAACUAACUCAAAAAGGUCUGAAACAUGUUCCUAAAAAGGUCUUGGAAAGUAAUUUUAACCCUAACCCCAAAAAGCUUAAACCUUAGCCUAGCCCCGUAACCCAAUACUUCCUUUAGUAUUACCUAAAGGAAGCCCUAACAACCCUAAACAUUUUUUUUUUCAAUUUUUUGUUUUUUUUUGGUCUAACUCCAAAUUUCUGAAUCUUGUCCCUAAAAUGGUCUUGGACAGUGAUUUUAACCCUAAACCCAAAAACCUUUAAUCUUACCCUAGACCCGUGACCCAAUACCCAGGUAUUACCUAAAGGAAGCCCUAACACCCCAAACAUUUUUUUUUCAUUUUUCAUUUUUUUUGGUCUAACUAACUCCAAAAGGUCUGAAACAUGUUCCUAAAAAGGUGUUUGACAGUGAUUUAACCUUAAUCCUAAAACCCUAAACUGAACCCUAGUCCCAUAACCCAAUACCCAGGUAUUACCUGAAGGAAACCCUAACACCCCAAACAAUUUUUUUUAUUUUUCAUUUUUUGUGUUCUAACUAACUCCAAAAGGUCUGAAACAUGUUCCUAAAAAGGUGUUGGACAGUGAUUUAACCCUAAUCCCAAAACCCUAAACCGAACCGUAGCCCCGUUACCCAAUACCCAGUUCUUACUAAAAAGCCCUAACAACCCCAAACAUUUUUUUUGACAUUUUUCUUUUUUUUGGUCUAAUUAACUCAAAAACGUCUGAAACAUGUUCCUAAAAAGGUCUUGGACAGUGAUUUUAAGCUUAACCCCAAAAACCUUAAACCUUGCCCUAGCCCCGUAACCCAAUACUUCCGUUAGUAUUACCUAAAGGAAGCCCUAACAACCCAAAACAUUUUUUUCUAAUUUUUAAUUUUUUUGGUCUAACUAACUCAAAAAGGUCUGAAUCACGUUCCUAAAAAGGUCUUGGAAAGUAAUUUUAACCCUAACACCAAAAAGCUUAAACCUUAGCCUAGCCCCGUAACCCAAUACUUCCUUUAGUAUUACCUAAAGGAAGCCCUAACAACCCUAAACAUUUUUUUUUUCAAUUUUUGUUUUUUUUUUGGUCUAACUCCAAAUUUCUGAAUCUUGUCCCUAAAAUGGUCUUGGACAGUGAUUUUAACCCUAAACCCAAAAACCUUAAAUCUUACCCUAGACCCGUGACCCGUGACCCAGGUAUUACCUAAAGGAAGCCCUAACACCCAAAACAUUUUUUUUUCAUUUUUCAUUUUUUUUGGUCUAACUAACUCCAAAAGGUCUGAAACAUGUUCCUAAAAAGGUGUUGGACAGUGAUUUAACCCUAAUCCUAAAACCCUAAACCGAACCCUAGUCCCAUAACCCAAUACCCAGGUAUUACCUAAAGGAAACCCUAACACCCCAAACAAUUUUAUUUUAUUUUUCAUUUUUUGUUUUCUAACUAACUCCAAAAGGUCUGAAACAUGUUCCUAAAAAGGUGUUGGACAGUGAUUUAACCCUAAUCCCAAAACCCUAAACCGAACCGUAGCCCCGUUACGCAAUACCCGGUUCUUACUCAAAAGCCCUAACAACCCCAAACAUUUUUUUUGACAUUUCUCAUUCUUUUUGCUCUAAUUAACUCAAAAACGUCUGAAACAUGUUCCUAAAAAGGUCUUGGACAGUGAUUUUAAGCUUAACCCCAAAAACCUUAAACCUUGCCCUAGCCCCGUAACCCAAUACUUCCGUUAGUAUUACCUAAAGGAAGCCCUAACAACCCAAAACAUUUUUUUCUCAUUUUUCAUUGUUUGGUCUAACUAACUCAAAAUGGUCUGAAUCACGUUCCUAAAAAGGUCUUGGAAAGUAAUUUUAACCCUAACACCAAAAAGCUUAAACCUUAGCCUAGCCCCGUAACCCAAUACUUCCUUUAGUAUUACCUAAAGGAAGCCCUAUCAACCCAAAACAUUUUUUUUUUCAAUUUUUUUUUUUUUUUUUGGUCUAACUAACUCCAAAUUUCUGAAUCUUGCCCCUAAAAUGGUCUUGGACAGUGAUUUUAACCCUAAACCCAAAAACCUUAAAUCUUACCCUAGACCCGUGACCCAAUACCCAGGUAUUACCUAAAGGAAGCCCUAACACCCCAAACAUUUUUUUUCAUUUUUCAUUUUUUUUGGUCUAACUAACUCCAAAAGGUCUGAAACAUGUUCCUAAAAAGGUGUUGGACAGUGAUUAAACCCUAAUCCUAAAACCCUAAACCGAACCCUAGUCACAUAACCCAAUACCCAGGUAUUACCUAAGGGAAACCCUAACACCCCAAACAUUUUUUUUAAUUUUUAAUUUUUUCUUUCUAGCUAACUCCAAAAGGUCUGAAACAUCUUCCUAAAAAGGUGUUGGACAGUGAUUUAACCCUAAUCCCAAAACCCUAAACCGAACCGUAGCCCCGUUACCCAAUACCCGGUUCUUACUCAAAAGCCCUAACAACCCCAGACAUUUUUUUUGACAUUUUUCAUUCUUUUUGCUCUAAUUAACUCAAAAACGUCUGAAACAUGUUCCUAAAAAGGUCUUGGACAGUGAUUUUAGGCUUAACCCCAAAAACCUUAAACCUUACCCUAGCCCCUUAACCCAAUACUUCCGUUAGUAUUACCUAAAGGAAGCCCUAACAACCCAAAACAUUUUUUUCUCAUUUUUCAUUUUUUUGGUCUAACUAACUCAAAAAGGUCUGAAUCACGUUCCUAAAAAGGUCUUGGAAAGUAAUUUUAACCCUAACACCAAAAAGCUUAAACCUUAGCCUAGCCCCGUAACCCAAUACUUCCUUUAGUAUUACCUAAAGGAAGCCCUAACAACCCUAAACAUUUUUUUUUUCAAUUUUUGUUUUUUUUUGGUCUAACUCCAAAUUUCUGAAUCUUGUCCCUAAAAUGGUCUUGGACAAUGAUUUUAACCCUAAACCCAAAAACCUUAAAUCUUACCCUAGACCCGUGACCCGUGACCCAGGUAUUACCUAAAGGAAGCCCUAACACCCAAAACAUUUUUUUUUCAUUUUUCAUUUUUUUUGGUCUAACUAACUCCAAAAGGUCUGAAACAUGUUCCUAAAAAGGUGUUGGACAGUGAUUUAACCCUAAUCCUAAAACCCUAAACCCGAACCCUAGUCCCAUAACCCAAUACCCAGGUAUUACCUAAAGGAAACCCUAACACCCCAAACAAUUUUAUUUUAUUUUUCAUUUUUUGUUUUCUAACUAACUCCAAAAGGUCUGAAACAUGUUCCUAAAAAGGUGUUGGACAGUGAUUUAACCCUAAUCCCAAAACCCUAAACCGAACCGUAGCCCCGUUACGCAAUACCCGGUUCUUACUCAAAAGCCCUAACAACCCCAAACAUUUUUUUUGACAUUUCUCAUUCUUUUUGCUCUAAUUAACUCAAAAACGUCUGAAACAUGUUCCUAAAAAGGUCUUGGACAGUGAUUUUAAGCUUAACCCCAAAAACCUUAAACCUUGCCCUAGCCCCGUAACCCAAUACUUCCGUUAGUAUUACCUAAAGGAAGCCCUAACAACCCAAAACAUUUUUUUCUCAUUUUUCAUUGUUUUGGUCUAACUAACUCAAAAUGGUCUGAAUCACGUUCCUAAAAAGGUCUUGGAAAGUAAUUUUAACUCUAACACCAAAAAGCUUAAACCUUAGCCUAGCCCCGUAACCCAAUACUUCCUUUAGUAUUACCUAAAGGAAGCCCUAUCAACCCAAAACAUUUUUUUUUUCAAUUUUUGUUUUUUUUUUGGUCUAACUAACUCCAAAUUUCUGAAUCUUGCCCCUAAAAUGGUCUUGGACAGUGAUUUUAAACCCUAAACCCAAAAACCUUAAAUCUUACCCUAGACCCGUGACCCAAUACCCAGGUAUUACCUAAAGGAAGCCCUAACACCCCAAACAUUUUUUUUCAUUUUUCAUUUUUUUUGGUCUAACUAACUCCAAAACGUCUGAAACAUGUUCCUAAAAAGGUCUUGGACAGUGAUUAAACCCUAAUCCUAAAACCUUAAACCUUACCCUAGUCCCAUAACCCAAUACCCAGGUAUUACCUAAAGGAACCCUAACACCCCAAACAUUUUUUUCAAUUUUUAAUUUUUUUUUUUCUAGCUAACUCCAAAAGGUCUGAAACAUGUUCCUAAAAAGGUGUUGGACAGUGAUUUAACCCUAAUCCCAGAACCCUAAACCGAACCGUAGCCCCUUUACCCAAUACCUGGUUCUUACUCAAAAGCCCUAACAACCCCAAACAUUUUUUUUGACAUUUUUCAUUCUUUUUGCUCUAAUUAACUCAAAAACGUCUGAAACAUGUUCCUAAAAAGGUCUUGGACAGUGAUUUUAAGCUUAACCCCAAAAACCUUAAACCUUACCCUAGCCCCGUAACCCAAUACCCAGGUAUUACCUAAAGGAAGCCCUAACACCCCAAACUUGUUUUUUAAUUUUUAAUUUUUUUGUUUUCUAACUAACUCCAAAAGGUCUUAAACAUGUUCCUAAAAAGGUUGGACAGUGAUAUUAACCCUAAUCCCAAAACCCUACACCCAACCCUGGCCCUGUAACCCACAACCCAGGUCUUAGCUAAAGAAAGCCCUAACAACCCCAAAUUCUUUUUUUGACAUUUUUCAUUUUUUUUGGUCUAACUAACUCCAAAAGGUCUGAAACAUCUUCCUGAAAAGGUCUUGGACAGUGAUUUUAAGCUUCACCCCAAAAACCCUAAACCAUACCCUAGCCCCAUAAUCCAAUGCCUGGGUCUUACCUUGAGGAAGCCCUAACACCCCAAACAUUAUUUUUUUCAUUUUUGCUUUGUUUAUGGUCUAAUUCACUCCAAAAAGUCUGAAACAUCUUCCUAAAAAGGUCUUUGCCAGUGAUUUUAACCCUAAUCCCAAAACCCUAAACCGAACCCUAGUCACAUAACCCAAUACCCGGGUCUUACCUAAAGAAAGCCCUAACAACCCCAAAAUUUUUGAUGAUAUUUUUCAAUUUUUUUGGUCUAAUUAACUCCAAAAGGUCUGAAACAUGUUCCUAAAAAGGUCUUGGACAGUGAUUUUAAGCCUAAUCCCAAAACCCUAAACGUAACCCUAGCCCUGUAACCCAAUACCCGGGUAUUACCUAAAGGAAACCCUAACACCCCAAACAUUUUUUUUUCAUUUUUCGUUUUUUUUUUUUGUCUAACUCCAAAAGGUCCGAAAUAUGUUCCUAAAAAGGUCUUGGACAGUGAUAUUAAGGCUUAACCGAACACCCUAACCCUAACCUUAGCCUCCUAACCCAAUACCCAGGUAUUACCUAAAGAAAGCCCUAACAACCCCCAAAUUUUUUUGGGACAUUUUUCUUUUUUUUUGGUCUAAUUAACUCCAAAAGAUCUGAAACAUGUUCCUAAAAAGGUUUUGGACAGUGACUUUAACCCUAGCCCCAAAAACCUUAAACCUUUCCCUAGCCCUGUAACCUGAUACCCGGGUAUUACCUAAACGGAGGCCUAACACCCCAAACAUUUUUUUUUCUUUUUUUUUUGGUCUAAUUAACACCAAAAGGUUUGAAGCAUGUUCCUACAAAGGUCUUGGACAAUGAUUUUAACCCUAAUCCUAAAACCCUAAACGUAACCCUAGCCCUGUAACCCAAUACCCCGGUAUUAUCUACAGGAAGCCCUAACACCCCAAUUUUUUUUUUUUGACAUUUUUAAGUCUUUUUUGGUCUAACUAACUCCAAAAGGUCUGAAACAUGUUCCUAAAAAGGUGUUGGACAGUGAUUUAACCCUAAUCCCAAAACCCUAAACCUUACCCUAGUCCCAUAACCCAAUACCCAGGUAUUACCUAAAGGAAACCCUAACACCCCAAACAUUUUUUUUAAUUUUUAAUUUUUUGCUUUCUAACUAACUCCAAAAGGUCUGAAACAUGUUCCUAAAAAGGUGUUGGACAGUGAUUUAACCCUAAUCCCAAAACCCUAAACUGAACCGUAGCCCCGUUACCCAAUACCCGGUUCUUACUCAAAAGCCCUAACAACCCCAAACAUUUUUUUUGACAUUUUUCAUUCUUUUUGCUCUAAUUAACUCAAAAACGUCUGAAACAUGUUCCUAAAAAGGUCUUGGACAGUGAUUU